AUUGAACGCUGGCGGCAUGCUUUACACAUGCAAGUCGAGCGGCAGCGCGGGGGCAACCCUGGCGGCGAGCGGCGAACGGGUGAGGAAACCAUCGGAACGUGCCCGAGAGUGGGGGAUAACGCCGCGAAAGCGGCGCUAAUACCGCAUAUUCUCUGAGGAGGAAAGUGGGGGACCGCAAGGCCUCACGCUCCCGGAGCGGCCGAUGUCGGAUUAGCUAGUUGGUGGGGUAAAGGCUUACCAAGGCGACGAUCCGUAGCUGGUCUGAGAGGAUGAUCAGCCACACUGGGACUGAGACACGGCCCAGACUCCUACGGGAGGCAGCAGUGGGGAAUUUUGGACAAUGGGGGCAACCCUGAUCCAGCCAUGCCGCGUGCGGGAAGAAGGGCC
rnacentral:rRNA from 1 species